UACGGAGGGUGCAAGCGUUAUCCGGAAUCAUUGGGUUUAAAGGGUCCGCAGGCGGUCAAUUAAGUCAGAGGUGAAAUACCAUAGCUCAACUAUGGAACUGCCUUUGAUACUGGUUGACUUGAGUUAUACGGAAGUAGAUAGAAUAAGUAGUGUAGCGGUGAAAUGCUUAGAGAUUACUUAGAAUACCGAUUGCGAAGGCAGUCUACUACGUAUGUACUGACGCUCAUGGACGAAAGCGUGGGGAGCGAACAGG
rnacentral:rRNA from 1 species